UUGCGUAGGCGGUUUGUUAAGUAGAUGGUGAAACCUGGUGGCUCAACCAUACAGACUAUUAUCUAAACUGGCAAACUCGAGAAUGGUAGAGGUAAUUGGAAUUUCUAGUGUAGGAGUGGAAUCCGUAGAUAUUAGAAGGAACACCAAUGGCGUAGGCAGAUUACUGGACCAUUUCUGACGCUAAGGCACGAAAGCGUGGGGAGCGAACC
rnacentral:rRNA from 1 species